rnacentral:lncRNA from 1 species
CCAAUCUUUAAUAUGUUAAAGUGAUAUGGAAACCUAUAAAUACAAGAAGGGGAAUAACCUGGCAUUUGUGAAACCAAUGAUAUGAGGUUUCUAUGCAAUAAGUUUUGCCAAGAACAUUUAUAAGAAUAUAAUCAUGUUUUCCUUUGCAUUUGAUAAUCAUUAAUUAUAAGUGUUGAAAAGGGUGACCAAAGGCUUCGAAAAUAGCCUAUUAGAGUGCACACGGUUAGGCACAUAGGCGUGUGUCUAGGUUAUGUGUGACACAUGGGCCACUCCCAUGGGUGUGUGGUAUGGUCGUACGUCCCCUGCACCUAAAAUUUUAAGUCAG